rnacentral:rRNA from 1 species
UUGGUUCUGGCAUCGAUGAAGAACGCAGCGAAAUGCGAUAAGUAAUGUGAAUUGCAGAAUUCAGUGAAUCAUCGAAUCUUUGAACGCACAUUGCGCCCUCUGGUAUUCCGGAGGGCAUGCCUGUUCGAGCGUCAUUUCAACCCUCAAGCCUGGCUUGGUGAUGGGGCACUGCUUCUUACCCAAGGAGCAGGCCCUGAAAUUCAGUGGCGAGCUCGCCAGGACCCCGAGCGCAGUAGUUAAACCCUCGCUUUGGAAGGCCCUGGCGGUGCCCUGCCGUUAAACCCCCCAACUUCUGAAAAUUUGACCUCGGAUCAGGUAGGAAUACCCGCUGAACUUAAGCAUAUCAAUAAGCGGAGGAAAAGAAACCAACAGGGAUUGCCCUAGUAACGGCGAGUGAAGCGGCAACAGCUCAAAUUUGAAAUCUGGCCUCGGCCCGAGUUGUAAUUUGCAGAGGAUGCUUCUGGCGCGGUGCCUUCCGAGUUCCCUGGAACGGGACGCCACAGAGGGUGAGAGCCCCGUAUGGUCGGACACCAAGCCUGUGUGAAGCUCCUUCGACGAGUCGAGUAGUUUGGGAAUGCUGCUCUAAAUGGGAGGUAAAUCUCUUCUAAAGCUAAAUACCGGCCAGAGACCGAUAGCGCACAAGUAGAGUGAUCGAAAGAUGAAAAGCACCUUGAAAAGGGGGUUAAAUAGUACGUGAAAUUGUUGAAAGGGAAGCACUUAUGACCAGACUUGGGCCGGGCGGCUCAUCAGGGGUUCUCCCCUGUGCACUCCGCCCGGCACAGGCCAGCAUCGGUUCUCGUGGGGGGAUAAGACCGUCAGGAACGUAGCACCCUCCGGGGUGUGUUAUAGCCUGGCGGACGAUACCCCCGUGGGGACCGAGGUCCGCGCUCCGCAAGGAU